ACAAAUUGGGGAUGUAAAAAGGAGCCCUAAUUUAGCGCGCGUUUUCCGUAGAGGGGGGAGAAAAGGGGCGAGCGAGACCUUGCGCACGGCGGCGAAGGUCGCAGAGGGCGCAAGAGGCGGCAGUCUUGCUAACGGUCAUUGCUAAUGGAAGAUCAACUUCAUGAUGCUCUCCAUUCUGAACCCAGAGUCAAAGCCACCCUGCGUCUUGGGUCAGAAUUGUUCUCUGUUAAUUCAGAAACAGGCAUUCUAUCUGAACAGUUGGCUACAAUGAAGGAGAAGAGUAUGAGCAUACUAAAAGACCAUAUCACCAAACACAAUGCCCCAAAUGAUGUUCCUGAUGAAGCGCUUGAGGGGUCUUCGGGAGAUGAAAGUGAAGAACUUGACAAUCCAUCGAAGAAAUCCAGGAAGCAAAAAUAGCUGCCUUGUAAUCUUUGGUGAGGUAGAAGGAUCCAAAAGAAACAACUAAUGCGAUUAUGGGAAUGCAAUGCUGAUUAGAUGUAGCAAAGGCCUUGUAUCUUGUAGCUCCCUGUAUAAGAUAUCCAAAAAUGUGGCAAAACGGAAUGGACGUCAUAACGAAUUAGCCCACAUUCUUAUUCUGUUCAUGCUUGAUCAUGUACAGUGCUACUGGAUCAUCAUACUACUUGGUAUGUAAGUUUAACUUUUUUGCCGCCAUCUUAAUUAUGUGCAAUUAAUACAAAGUAUCAGUUGGGUGAUGAAAAA